GCAGGAGAAUCACUUGAACUAGGGAGGUGGAGGUUGCAGUGAGCCGAGAUUGCGCCACUGCACUCCAGCCUGGGCAACAGAGCAAGACUCUGUCUUUAAAAAAAAAAUUAAUUAAUUAAUUAAUUUUAAAAACUACUUACUAUCAUUUAAUACCUAUCAGUGUUCAUAUUUCCCCCACUUGUCAAAAAUAUCUUGUUAUUCAGCAGCAAAGCAGAAGAGAAAAAGAAAAAAAAAGGUCAGAUGUGGUGGCUGAUGCCUGUAGUCCCAGCACUUUGGGAGGCCAAGGUGGGAGGAUCACUGGAGCUCAGGAGUUUGAGACCAGCCUGGGUACAGUAGCGAGACUCAGUCUCUACAAAAAAAAAAUUUGUUUAAAAAUUAGCAAGGUGUGUUGAUGUUCACCUAUAGUCCCAGCUAUUCAGAAGGCUGAAGUGAGAAAAUUGCUUGAGCCCCAGAGGUUGCGGCUGCAGCGAGCUGUGACCAUACCACUGCAUUCCAGUCUGCUGCACCGAGUGAGACCAUGUCUCAAAAAAAAAAAAAAAGAAAGAAAGAAAGAAAGAAAAAUGCCUUUUUACAGCUGGUUUAUUCAAGUCAAGAUCCAAAAAAGAUACGCACAUAUGUUUAACUAGCAUAUUUCGUAAAUGUCUUUAAAUCUAUACCUAGAUCAGUGCCAUUUUUUCAUGUCAUUUAGUUGUUGAACGAACCAGGUACUGUGUCCUGCGGCAUAUCCUACCUUCUGGGUUUGGCUGAUUGCAUCUUUGUGGAUGUCCUUCUGCCUCUGUCUUUCCUGAACUCUGGUAGUUGAGAUCAGGACUGGAGAUUUCUUUGGCAGGAAGAAUCCAUAGGUGGGUACUUCCUAUCGCACCUCGAAGGAGACACAAAGUGUCCAGCUGUCCCACUUUUACUGGUGUUAAACUUCAUCCACCAGAUAGUGCACCCAUUAUAAAAUUCUGUCCACUAAUGAUUUGUGCUGAGAUCCACUUCUCAUUAGGGGCUGCCAAGUAGUGCUUUUCUAUCAUUCUUUCUGCACUUGUUAGCCGAAGGUUCUCUAUCAUGAAGAUAUUUCCCUUGUCAACUAUUUGGCUUGGAUGGAAAGGCUGGAUCAAUGUUUGAUUCUUUAUUUAUCAUUUUCAUAAUAAUGAGCUAGCUCCUCAGCACCCCGGGGGAAGUUGUCUUCAAAUGCUGCUUUGAAGCAUAGAAUAUUUUAUUCUAAUGGAUAUGGGAGGGAAGGGCCUUCCAAGCCGAGGGAACAGCUUGAGCAAAGGCUCAGAGGCAGGAGAAUGCAGGGUGUUUAGAGAACAGCAGAGCUCGGUAGCACGUGCAACAAAAGGCUUUUUGAGUGAGGACCCUGAGCACGAUAUGGUGGGAAAGCAGGGGAGAGGUCAGGAUUGCUGGUUUGACUCCCAGCCACGGGCAAAAGGUUCUCCCCUUGUCUAUACAAUGAGGACAUCUCUCUAGAUCAGUGGCUUUCCAACGUUUCUGGCCCCAGUUUGCUUUAAUAAAUACAUUUUAUACUCUGACCCAGUAAGUGCAUCUGUGUGUAUAAAAACCAACAGAAAUUUCAAAAAGAACUCAAUUGACUUUUACAUACAAUGUAUGUGGGUCUAUUCUAUUCUAUUUCAUGCAGUGUCAUCCUGUUGAAAUAAAUGUUGGUUAUGACCACUGAAUUGAACUCAGUCUCACAAAUUGUCGGCAACCUUAGUCUGGGUGGCUCCUGGGGCUCUAUUUCCACUGCAGCCCUUUCUGGUUGAUCCCUGGUCUUGGUGACAACCUGACGCAGGACCAGGCUCUGGAGAAGAGGGACAACAUGAGAAGAGAAGCUGAUCACUUGCAGGAGGCUCCUGAGCUGAACAUGAGGCAAAAGCCAGGCCAAACUCAGAGGCUGUGGCCCCAGCCAGGCCACCCUCACCUUCAGAGUCUUGACCCCCCAGACCACACUACCAGACACCUGCUGGCCCUGUUUCCACAACAGACUGGCUCAGCCACACCCAGGCCCACAGGGCUCAGAGGCCUGCUCCCUGUAGAUCUUGUCAACUUUGAAAGGCCUUCAAGUUUAUCCCUAAACAAAGCCCUCUAGUUUAGCCCUAAAGAGCCAGGUGUUAACCUAACAGGAAGCAAUUUGGAAGGUCAAAGUCAAGUAGACGGAGAACAGUGUUGAGAGUCCUGGGGUGACAACACCUGGGUCCCCUUCUCACCUGAGCCACAGACUCGCCAGGUAACUGGGCCAGCGUCCCUCCUGCCCAUGCCUUGCUUGCCCCACUCUUAAGGAAGAUGCAUCCCCUUAUCUUGGAGGGAAUGACAAUGACCAGAUCACAACUGAGCUGAGCAAUUUGGGGAAAUUUGGGCAGGGGGUAGAGUUGGCAGAACUGGUUUGUAAAUAGGGCUCCGGAAGACCUUCCUCUAACUGUGGGGAGUGGGGGAGGGGUUUCUCUCCCUCUUAGGCACUCUCUUCUCUGCUGUUUUCUCUAUUUCUCUCUUUGCUGUCACUCCCAUUACCGUCCUCAUCUUAUCUCCUGCUUUUCUCUCCUUCUCUCUCUCUCUUUUUAAUAGCAGCUUUAUUGAGAGAUAAUUUACAUGAUGUGAAAUUUACCCUUUUGUACAAUUCACCAUGUGUACAUUUCAGUGUUUUUUAGUGUAUUCACAGGGUUGCAGAACCAUCACCGCUGUCUUACUUUAUUUUUUUGGUACUUUUUGGUAGAGACAGGGUUUUGCCACGUUGGCCAGGCUAGUCUCAAACUCCUGACCUCAAAUCAUCCGUCCGCCUCGGCCUCUCAAAGUGCUGGGAUUACAGGUGUGAGCCACUGCACCUGGCCACCUCUGUCUAAUUUCAGAACAUGUUUGUUAUGCCCCAAAUAAACUCUGUACCCAUCAGCAGUCACUGCCUAGUCCGCACAUCUCACCAGCCCCUGGCAACACUAAUGUACUUUCUGUCUUGAUGGAUUUGUCUAUUCUAAACAUUUCAUAUAAAUGGAAUCAUACAAUACAUGGCCUUUUGUGAGUGGCUUCUUUCACUUAGCAUGUUUUCAAGUUUCAUUGUUGUUGUGGCAUGCAUCUGUACUUCAUUCCUUUUUAUGGCUGAGUAAUAUUCCAUUAUAUGGAUAUACCAGAUUUAGUUUUAGCCAUUCAUCAGUUGAAGGGCAUUUGAAUUGUUUCUACUAUUUGGCUAUUAUGAAUAACAUUGCUAUGAAUAUUCAUUGAUAGGUUUUUGUGUGAACAUGUGUUUUUAAUUCUCCUAACUACAGGCUCAGAAGUAGGGUUUCUGGGUCAUAUGGCAACUCUAUGUUUACAUUCUGAGAAACUGUCAAAUUGUUUUUCUUUUUUUUCUUUUUUUCUUUUUUUUAUUAUUUUCUGCUGCCACCUCAUCUCCCCAAAUUGAUUUUCAAAGUGGCUGCACCAUUUUGCAAUUCCACCUGCAGUGUAUGAGGGUCCCAAUUUCUCCACACCCUCAGCAACACUUCAACACUUGCUUUUUUUUUUUUUUUUUUUGAGAUGGGGUCUCGCUCUGUCGCCAGGCUGGAGUGCAGUGGCAUGAUCUCAGCUCACUGUGACCUCUGCCUCCUGGGUUCAAGAGAUUCUCGUGCCUCAGCCUCCUGAGUAGCUGGGACUGCAGGUGCAUGCCACCACACCCAGCUAAUUUUUGUAUUUUUAGUAGAGGCGGGGUUUCACUAUGCUGGCCAGGAUGGUCUCAAACUCCUGAACUCAUGAUCCACCUGUCUCGGUGUUCCAAAGUACUGUGACUACAGGUGUGAGCCACUGCACCCAGCCAACACUUGCUAUUUUAUUUUUUAUCUUAGCCGUCCUAAUGGAUGUGGGGUGGUAUCUCAUUGUGGUUUGGAUUUGCAUUUCCUUAUGAUUAAUGAUGUUGAGUAUCUUUCAUGCUCACUGGCCACUUGUGUAUCUUCUUUGGAGAAAUGUCUAUUUAAAUCCUUUGUCCAGUUUUAAAUUUGAUUGACUUAUUUUUAUUUACUUAUUUUUUUUGGAGGCAGAGUCUUGCUCUGUUGCCCAGGCUGGAGUGCAGUUGUGCAAUCUUGGCUCACUGCAACCUCCACCUCCUGGGUUCAAGCAAUUCUCCUGCCUCAGCCUCCUGAGUAGCUGAGACUAUAGGUGCAUGCUACCAAGCGCAGCUAUCUUUUGUAUUUUUAGUAGAGACAGGGGUUUCACCAUGUUGGCCAGGCUGGUCUUGAACUCCUGGCCUCAAGCAAUCUGCCUUCCUUGGUCUCCCAAAGUGCUGGGAUUACAGGCAUGAGCCACCACACCCAGCCAGUUUCAGCUCUUACAUUUAGGUUUAUGGUCCAUUUUGAGUUAAUAUUUGUAUAUGGUGUGAGGUAGGAGUCCAAAUGCAUUAUUUUGCAUGUGCUUAUCCAGUUGUCCAAGCACCAUUUAUUAAAUCUAUCUUUUCUUUUUCUUUUUCUUUUCUUUUUUUUUUUUUUUUUUUUGAGACAGGGUCUUGCUCUGUCACCCAGGCUGAAGUGCACUGGUGUGAUCAUGGCUCACUUCAGCUUCCUGCUUCUGGGCUCAAGUGAUCUCCUGUCUCAGCCUCCAGGGUAGCCGGGACUACAGGCAUGCACCACCAUACCUGGCUAAUUUUAAUCUUUUUUUUUCUUUCUUUCUUUUUUUAACGUUCCUUUUUCUCCAGGCAGCUGUUCCCAACCCCAGAACCUUUGCUGUCUUGGAACAGAUCACCACUGCAAGAGGGGAAGUUGCUACUGUGAUGAAUUCUGCCAUGUGGUACCAGACUGCUACCCAGACCACAGUGUCCUCUACAACCCUCGUAACUCACAUACAGGCCUGAUUCCACCUACAGCAAAGCUGGAUGCUAUGGUUGGCAGAGGCAAACCCUUUGCCUGCACUUCAGGCCAAAGCCGGGAUGUGGCCUAGAUGGUUCCUAAGGUCCCUGACAAUCCUGAGAUCUUGCAUCUUGUCUAUUUCAGGUCAAAGCUUAUCAGAUGACCAAGAUGGUGCUGCAGAUGGUGCUGAGGAUGGAGAACCCACCAAGCCCCGCUAGGAGCCACCUAGACUGGAUGCAGAGCAUGGUUCAGCGAGUUCUCCAAACCAGCCUCCCAGGAAUGCCGUUCUCCAUGGCUGUGAGGGGAAUGAAGAAGAGAGCCUGACUCCUCUCCUGAGGCCCCUUCCCCACCCUGAUCCAGCAGGAUCCACGGAGCAGAGGCCCCAGCACCCGCAGAGCAGACACUGCGAUGACAACGGACGACACAGAAGUGCCCGCUAUGACUCCAGCACCGGGCCACGCUGCUCUGGAAACUCAAACGCUGAGCACUGAGACCUCUUCUAGGGCCUCAACCCCAGCCGGCCCCAUUCCAGAAGCAGAGACCAGGGGAGCCAAGAGAAUUUCCCCUGCAAGAGAGACCAGGAGUUUCACAAAAACAUCUCCCAACUUCAUGGUGCUGAUCGCCACCUCCAUGGAGACAUCAGCCACCAGUGGCAGCCCCGAGGGAGCUGGAAUGACCACAGUUCAGACCAUCACAGGCAGUGAUCCCGAGAAAGCCAUCUUUGACACCCUUUGCACCGAUGACAGCUCUGAAGAGGCAAAGACACUCACAAUGGACAUAUUGACAUUGGCUCACACCUCCACAGAAGCUAAGGGCCUGUCCUCAGAGAGCAGCGCCUCUUCCGAUGGCCCCCAUCCAGUCAUCACCCCGUCACAGGCCUCAGAGAGCGGCGCCUCUUCCGACGGCCCCCAUCCAGUCAUCACCCCAUCAUGGUCCCUGGGAUCUGACGUCACUCUCCUUGCUGAAGCCCUGGUGACCAUCACCCACAUUGAGGUUAUCAAUUGCAGCAUCACAGAAAUAGAAACAACGACUUCCAGCAUCCCUGGGGCCUCAGACACAGAUCACAUCCCCACGGAAGGGGUGAAGGCCUCGUCCACCUCCGAUCCACCAGCUCUGCCUGACUCCACUGAAGCAAAACCACACAUCACUGAGGUCACAGCCUCUGCCGAGACCCUGUCCACAGCCGGCACCACAGAGUCAGCUGCACCUGAUGCCACGGUUGGGACCCCACUCCCCACUAACAGCGCCACAGAAAGAGAAGUGACAGCACCCAGGGCCACGACCCUCAGUGGAGCUCUGGUCACAGUUAGCAGGAAUCGCCUGGAAGAAACCUCAGCCGUCUCUGUUGAGACACCAAGUUACGUGAAAGACUCAGGAGCAGCUCCGGUCUCCAUAGAGGCUGGGUCAGCAGUGGGCAAAACAACUUCCUUUGCUGGGAGCUCUGCUUCCUCCUACAGCCCCUCGGAAGCCGCCCUCAAGAACUUCACCCCUUCAGAGACGCCGACCAUGGACAGCACAACCAAGGGGCCCUUCCCCACCAGCAGGGACCCUCUUCCUUCUGUCCCUCCGACUACAACCAACAGCAGCCGAGGGACGAACAGCACCUUAGCCAAGACCACAACCUCAGCGAAGACCACGAUGAAGCCCCCAACAGCCACGCCCACCACUGCCCGGACGAGGCCGACCACAGACGUGAGUGCAGGUGAAAAUGGAGGUUUCCUCCUCCUGCGGCUGAGUGUGGCUUCCCUGGAAGACCUCACUGACCCCAGAGUGGCAGAAAGCCUGAUGCAGCAGGUGAGUGGGCACUUUCCGGGCCAGGGGAGUAGAGGAAGGGGUGAGGUUCGCAGGGGCUGCAGGGAAGACCCGCAGGACACAGAAAAGCAGCUACCGCACUUGGAAGGGAGUCUCGUUUCUUGUGGAGAAUUAGAUGCUGAAUCUGAGGAUUUCUGCCUGGCUUUGCUUCUGCCUGCCUUCUCCGAGUUCUUCAUUUCCUUCUCUGCAAGGUAAACAUGUGACUCCUGGAGCCCCCAGUUUCUUCUGGUCCUUGGAAGCUUGGCCUUCUGGCCCCUGAGGCAAAGCUCCACCGGGAACUCCACGCCCACGCGCCUCACUUCCAGGUCUCCUUACUGCGUGUCAGGAGAGGCUAACGGACAUCA